GCAAACUAACAUAACUAGCAAGCAUGUAGAAAAUAUGAACUUGACAAAAUGGUAGUGGCCUGAUGUACAUUAGUGAAUGUUAGACAAACCUGCAAAUUGCCUGCAUUUACAUGACCUGAUGUACUAGUAUCCUCUCUGUUAGCUUGUUGAGUUCCAGGAUUUGCUAUGACCCGGUUCUACUUUUUACAUGGAUUUGAGAUUAUAUGGAUUUGAGUUCCAUGGAUUUGCUAUGACCUGAUGUACUUGCAGGUGGUUUGUUAAAUUCUUGAUUGUCUGCUGUUGUUUUUUCCCCAGCAAAAUCAUCCUUUACAUUGUUCUAGAUAUUUCCACAUAUCUCAACAACUUUAGAUGGAGAUACAAAGUUGUUCUCCUCAUUAGCAAGACCUGCAGCCUCCCAAAUAAUGUUGAAAAGAAGGAAAUGGAUUUUUAGCAAACUAAAAGGAAAAAUGUGUCUGGCGCCCGGAACAUGAGACGCAGCUAGCUCAAAACUUCAAGAAGAAAGCUCAGCGCUUACUAUGUUUGAAUGUUAAUGUUGUGGUGGAUUUGUGGAUUGUGUAAGUGUUUUGUGGAUGUUUGCGAGCGGUGAAGUAGUCUAAUGUUGUAGAUUAACUUAGUCUAAUGUUAUAGACUAAUUUAGUGUAGAUCUACUAGUUUAAUGUUUUGUGGAUGUUUGCAAAGGUUGUGAAGUAGUUUAAUGUUGUGUAGAUGUUUGCGAAUGUUGAAGUAGCUUAAUGCCUCUUCGGAAUGUUUGAAUGACGUUUUGAUUCAACUUUGAAGUAGUUUCGAAUUGAAUUUGACGUAUUGU